rnacentral:rRNA from 1 species
AUUGAACGCUGGCGGCAGGCCUAACACAUGCAAGUCGAACGAGUGGCGGACGGGUGAGUAAUUUCUGGGCAACUGCCUGAUGGAGGGGGAUACCUACUGGAAACGGUAGCUCAUACCGCAUACUGAUUGAUGGACCCGCGGUGCAUUAGCUAGUUGGUGAGGUAACGGCUCACCACGGCCACGAGGCAUAGCCGACCUGAGAGGGUGAUCGGCCACACUGGGACGGAGACACGGUCCAGACUCCUACGGGAGGCAGCAGUGGGGAAUAUUGCACAAUGGGCGCAAGCCUGAUGCAGCCAUGCCGCGGGUAUGAAGAAGGCCUUCGGGUUGUAAAGUACUUUCAGCGGGGAGGUGUUACCCGCAGAAGAAGCACCGGCUAACUCCGUGCCAGCAGCCGCGGUAAUAC